ensembl:snRNA U6 U6 spliceosomal RNA
GUGUACAUAUACUUUAAAAAACUGGAAUGAUACAGAGAAGAUUAGCAUGGCCCUUGCGCAAGCAUGACAUACAAAUUCAUGAAGCAUUCCAUACUAAA